ACACGUCCUCUGGGGUGCAGAUGAAAACAGGAUAAGAUGUCCUCUGCUCUGUUGGUUAAUUGGCCCGGCAAGCUUCCAUUAAGACUUGUACUUUCCGGAGGGUCUGUGCUUAAAAGGGCCUCCUUUUAAGAUGAUGACUGCUCCUCAACCACGUGACUCUCGGUCGCUGGUGUUGUGCACACCAACAGCUGCUCGACAGCUGGCCGGGCUUCUGGACUCACGGGGUGGCUGGCUGACAGGGAGCUCCAUGACGGCCACAGGAGUUCCAGCUCAAGAAUCACCAAUAGUCUCCUUAGAAAUGGGCCACCGCCCAGCACCUGCCUCCCGCCUGACUCAGGGUGACUGCAGUGUGGAUUUUGGCCGGUGGAUACCAAGCACCAAAUUCAUGUGUGGCGGCCAGGGGACCACCCAGCCCUGAACCGCUGGCCUGCUACGCUACAGGGUGGGUUAUUUUCGUGCGCGGACUUGUUUUUCCUGGCAGGGGGACGGCCACAUACUUCAUGGCAGCAAGUCGUGGAGCCUCUGUGGGCUCUAUUUACACAGCGGGGGGGAGAGAGAUGCACUUUUUUGUGUGUGUAAACAGAACGGUUUAUAACUGCCUGUCCUGAUAGAUGCGGGCCCCUCCUGCAUGCGGAUAAUAUGUACAAUAUGUGUAGUGCUUUGGAAGGUACCAGCAACACCUCUGGCCAAGCACUGCUGUUCUGAAUAACCCUCCUCGGCAGUGCGGGCUAAUGAAUGCCAGGAAGAAGCCCACAGCGGUGGUGACCAGGGAAUCCUGGGAUCCUCAGGAAGUGGGGAAGAUCCCUGAUGCCCUUCGCUCAUGAUCUACCUUAUACAAUGGUCUCCCACCACCACGUCUGUCCAAUCUGAGCACGGAAUACCUCCAGCCGUCAGACGCUCACAGCCCAGGACCUUGGCUAUUCCAUGGGGGUUGGCUCAGCUUUUAGAAAGUUCUUUCUUAGUGUAGUCAAAAUCUACCCUCUAAGUGUUCACCUUGGGGCUCUUUGGGGUCAGAUAAGGUCCAAUCCCCCCUUUCCUGGAACUGCUCUGCGCUUCGGGAGGUAGAGCUCUUGAUCGGGGUUGAACUGCUUCGGCCUCUUCAGCUGGCUCUCCUACAACCUGGUUUUGACCCCUUUCACCAGCUCUCCAAGCCCCAUUCCCUUUUCUAGAAGUGUGGCUCCCAGGUGUGAACUGAGUAGCUGGAGAGAGGGGGCUGACAGUCCCUCGCAUCCUCUGAGAGGCAGGAGGCCCCUUCUACCAAAUGAGAAGUGGGGUUCCCAUCUCCUGGCCUCAGGCUGGCGAGCACCCCACUCUGUUAGCCACAAGGUCUGUGGAAUGGGUGCUCCUGGGGCUCUGAGUAGAUGGCUCCGUUGCUGGCUAAGAGCUUACGCUCUCCCUGUUCUGCAUUUCCCCUCGUGUGGAAAACGGAAAUACUAAACCAGGUUAAUAACAUUUUACUAACAACAAGAAGCCCUCGUUAUGAGUGUAGUGCCUUGGGCGCUUUUACAAGCAUCUUACACUCUCCAGAGUAGAGCAACCGAGGAGCUGGGUUCCUGCCCCAUGGUACAGCUGAGGAAACUGAGGCUCAGGGGAGUGAGAUGACGUGACCAUGGCCCUGGGUAGAUGGCAACACGACCCAGGAAUAGAACCGGGGGUUUUUGAGGCCAAAUCAAAUGUUUUUCCCGUGUCCUCAAACAGCUCUCUUGCGUGCAGGGGAGAUAAGACUUUCUCCUAAUGAAACAACCAAAAUUUGAAUCCUGUGUUUGUUCUCUGGCACACCGGGGACAAAUGUGAGGCCUCGGGUCAUGCCCUUCGUCCCCUUCAUGCAGCACUGUUGAGUCCAUGAAGCAGAGGCCAAGGGAAAGGGCUGAGUCUAGUGGUCCCCUCUUUGCUGCAAUGUCCUGGCCCGGAGACCAGAGCCAGACAUGCCCGCCCAGCUGGGGCCUGGUUUGAGCCUCCCCAGGAUGGUGGCAGGUGUCUGCUCUGUCACUCUCCUCAGUGCCUGGAAGUCCAAGGCCAUGAGGACUGGCUGUCUUCCCGGAAAACACAGGUCACUGUCUGGUCGGCCUGUCCUUGAGCCCAGGCCUAGCUCUGUCCCAUGGCAGGAUAUGGACGGGGAGCGGCGAACUGUCCUCCUCCUCUCUCCCGGGUAGGACAGCAGGCUCCCAGACCUGGGAAAACCUCCAGGAGGAGCACUUGGCACUUGCAGAGGCUGGAUUUUCUGCGUGGCAGGAUGAGAGCUCCACAGAGACGGUGUGGACCCAGAAGCCUGGACCACUCAGAGCCCCGAGAGGCUGAGUCACACCCACAUGUGUGAGAAACACCGACAGUGUCACAGCAUCGAAGGAUGUUGGAAAUCGAAGACAGCUGGAUUCCAGGCUGCUUGUCCAAACCUUCUCCUGAAGGAGGAACCUGUUCUCCAAAGUUCUCAAAGAUGAUCCUUCCCACCCUCCCUUCCACAAAUAUUUGGAGCACCCACACUUUGUCAGGCACUGCGCUGGUCCUGGGGCAGUAAUGGAGACAGAUAUGGGCCUCGUCCUCACCGAGCUGACAGUCUAGCACUUGAAAGUCUCUGCAAUUUCUGUUGAAUACCUCCAGUAACAGGAUGCUCGCCACCUUACAGGACAGCCUCUUUUUUUUUUUUUUUUUUUUUUUCCGGUCAGUUUUUCCUUAUUUAAACUGUAAUGCUUGUUCUGACCUCUGGGGCUAUACAAAACAAGUCUAACCCCAUUUCCUAUGUCAGUGCCCUUAGAACGUGGAAAAAUAAACAUGGUACGCUCAGAAAACAUUCUCACUCUCCAGUUU